GUGGGGAAUUUUGGACAAUGGGCGCAAGCCUGAUCCAGCAAUGCCGCGUGCAGGAAGAAGGCCUUCGGGUUGUAAACUGCUUUUGUACGGAACGAAACGGUCCUGGUUAAUACCUGGGGCUAAUGACGGUACCGUAAGAAUAAGCACCGACUAACUACGUGCCAGCAGCCGCGGUAAUACGUAGGGUGCAAGCGUUAAUCGGAAUUACUGGGCGUAAAGCGUGCGCAGGCGGUUUUGUAAGACAGGCGUGAAAUCCCCGGGCUCAACCUGGGAAUUGCGCUUGUGACUGCAAGGCUGGAGUGCGGCAGAGGGGGAUGGAAUUCCGCGUGUAGCAGUGAAAUGCGUAGAUAUGCGGAGGAACACCGAUGGCGAAGGCAAUCCCCUGGGCCUGCACUGACGCUCAUGCACGAAAGCGUGGGGAGCAAACAGGAUUAGAAACCCUUGUAGUCC
rnacentral:rRNA from 1 species